rnacentral:lncRNA from 1 species
AAAGAACAAUUUCUAGUGUUUUAUUUAAUUAUUUUUCUUAAGUAAUGUCUCGUUAAUUCUUCAAGAAUUUUCGGAGCGUUACACAUUAAACCUGAGGAAAAAAAUUAAUUGAUUAGAAACAAAAUCGUAAAUUAGGAAGAAACUCAAAAUCUUGCUUCUUAGGUGAUACAUAAAAAUUGAUUUCGUCUAAAGACGGCUAACCUUAAAUAAAGAGAUGAGAGGAACACCGAUCCGAUCAACGAUGAGAGAAACAGCCGGUGAUUCGAGAUGAAAGAAUUAGAUUUUGGUUUAGAAAGAAGAAAACGAAGAAGAUGAUUGAUGGAGCUUGUUGGAGAGGGGUUCCUUGAAGCUUGAAGAAUUGGUGAUUUUCCGGUGGUUUACGGUGGUUAUUGGAGCUCCUUCCGAUGGCAAAUC